GAUGAAGAACGUAGCGAAAUGCGAUAAGUAAUGUGAAUUGCAGAAUUCAGUGAAUCAUCGAAUCUUUGAACGCACAUUGCGCCCCCUGGUAUUCCGGGGGGCAUGCCUGUCCGAGCGUCAUUACAACCCUCAAGCUCAGCUUGGUGUUGGGCCCCGCCGCCCCGGCGGGCCCUAAAGUCAGUGGCGGUGCCGUCCGGCUCCGAGCGUAGUAAUUCUUCUCGCUCUCGAGGUCCGGUCGUGUGCUCGCCAGCAACCCCCAAUUUUUUUCAGGUUGACCUCGGAUCAGGUAGGGAUACCCGCUGAACUUAAGCAUAUCAAUAAGCGGAGGA
rnacentral:misc_RNA from 1 species